GAUGAACGCUGGCGGCGUGCCUAAUACAUGCAAGUCGAGCGAACAGACGAGGAGCUUGCUCCUCUGACGUUAGCGGCGGACGGGUGAGUAACAUGUGGAUAACCUACCUAUAAGACUGGGAUAACUUCGGGAAACCGGAGCUAAUACCGGAUAAUAUAUUGAACCGCAUGGUUCAAUAGUGAAAGACGGUUUUGCUGUCACUUAUAGAUGGAUCCGCGCCGCAUUAGCUAGUUGGUAAGGUAACGGCUUACCAAGGCAACGAUGCGUAGCCGACCUGAGAGGGUGAUCGGCCACACUGGAACUGAGACACGGUCAAGACUCCUACGGGAGGCAGCAGUAGGGAAUCUUCCGCAAUGGGCGAAAGCCUGACGGAGCAACGCCGCGUGAAUGAUGAAGGUCUUCGGAUCGUAAAACUCUGUUAUUAGGGAAGAACAAAUGUGUAAGUAACUAUGCACGUCUUGACGGUACCUAAUCAGAAAGCCACGGCUAACUACGUG
rnacentral:rRNA from 1 species